UAGUCCACGCCGUAAACGAUGGAUACUAGCUGUCCGGUGCCUUGAGCACUGGGCGGCCAAGCGAAAGUGAUAAGUAUCCCACCUGGGGAGUACGUUCGCAAGAAUGAAACUCAAAGGAAUUGACGGGGGCCCGCACAAGCGGUGGAGCAUGUGGUUUAAUUCGAUGAUACGCGAGGAACCUUACCAGGGCUUAAAUGCAUAUUGACAGGGCCAGAGAUGGCUUUUCCUUCGGGCAAUUUGCAAGGUGCUGCAUGGUUGUCGUCAGCUCGUGCCGUGAGGUGUCAGGUUAAGUCCUAUAACGAGCGCAACCCCUACCGUUAGUUGCCAGCAUGUCAUGAUGGGGACUCUAACGGGACUGCCGGUGCAAACCGUGAGGAAGGGUGGGGACGACGUCAAAUCAUCACGGGCCCUUACGGACUGGGGCUACACACGUGCUACAAUGGGCGGUGACAGU
rnacentral:rRNA from 1 species